rnacentral:rRNA from 1 species
AUCGAACGCUGGCGGCAGGCCUAACACAUGCAAGUCGAACGAGUGGCGGAGGGGUGAGUAAUGUCUGGGAAACUGCCUGAUGGAGGGGGAUAAAGAGUGGAAACGGUAGAUAAUACCGCAUACCAGCAGAUGUGGCAAGAUGGGAUGAGCGAGUGGGUGGGGUAACGGCUCACGAAGGGGAGGAUUCCUAGCUGGUAUGUGAGGAGGACCAGCCACACGGUAACUGGGACACGGUCCAGACUCCUACGGGAGGCAGCAGUGGGGAAUAUUGCACAAUGGGCGCAAUCCUGAUGCAGCCAUGCCGCGUGUAUGAAGAAGGCCUUCGGGUUGUAAAGUACUUUCAGCGGGGAGGCGUUACCCGCAGAAGAAGCACCGGCUAACUCCGUGCCAGCAGCCGCGGUAAUAC